UGGGGAAUAUUGGACAAUGGGCGAAAGCCUGAUCCAGCCAUGCCGCGUGUGUGAAGAAGGUCUUCGGAUUGUAAAGCACUUUAAGUUGGGAGGAAGGGCAUUAACCUAAUACGUUAGUGUUUUGACGUUACCGACAGAAUAAGCACCGGCUAACUCUGUGCUAGCAGCCGCGGUAAUACAGAGGGUGCAAGCGUUAAUCGGAAUUACUGGGCGUAAAGCGCGCGUAGGUGGUUUGUUAAGUUGGAUGUGAAAUCCCCGGGCUCAACCUGGGAACUGCAUUCAAAACUGACUGACUAGAGUAUGGUAGAGGGUGGUGGAAUUUCCUGUGUAGCGGUGAAAUGCGUAGAUAUAGGAAGGAACACCAGUGGCGAAGGCGACCACCUGGACUAAUACUGACACUGAGGUGCGAAAGCGUGGGGAGCAAACA
rnacentral:rRNA from 1 species